rfam:Stegodyphus mimosarum contig65588, whole genome shotgun sequence.
GCCUUCGUGGUGUAACGGUUAGCACACUCGGUGGGUACUCGAAAGGUCCGUGGUUCGAGUCCUGGUGAGGGCA